CCGAGAUCAGACUCCUUCAGGAAGAACUGGCGCAAAGAUAAAAACCACAUGUUUUUAAACCACAAUCUCAGCUCAAGGUCCACCUUCAGCUCUUAUCACUGCAUUACAAAGCAAGCUGUGCUCCUUCACUUGUAGUGAAACGAUCAACGCUACAAGGUCAGCUGUACCUGGGAGGACAGGUCGGUCCACUCAGCCUGGCCCUCAUCCUGGACGGUGACAGACUUCACUCCGGACAGAAUCACGUUUUUGGCAAUUUCUACACCGAGACCGCGCAUACCUGCGAUCAGGACGUCGGUUGUGCCCAUCCGGUGCAUCGCGUCAUGGCCCAGAACAUACCUGUGUGAACAACAAGUGGAUCUGCAGCACAGACUGUACCGUACAGGAUUCUAUGCUUGCUUUCUGUAUGCCGACACUUCCUGGUAUUGGCCACUAGAGGGCGACUCCGGACUGUUUAACGAGCUGUGACCGUGUCUCCGACUGGAAAUCUCUAUUAGUGCACAGUCACUGUUUGUGAAUGUGGGCUGUGACCUGGAACUGAAACUUGAGUUUAUCCAUUCUCUCAUUGUUUGUUUAUAUUAUCUAAAGAAGGGUCAAUGCACAUCAAUUAACACGAACACCAAAGUCUA